UUCAGAACUGUCCUUGUUGAAUGUUAAUACUCUUCAGAACUGUUCUUGAAUGAUAGAACUGUCCUUGUGAAAGGUUGUUGCUGAGCCACGAAAAGGUGCCAGGAUUCUUGGCCUCCAGAGGAGAAGAAUUCAAUCUGGGGCCAGAGAUGAGGCUUGAUCACUCAGAGCUUUUAUGUGAUAAAGUUUUAUUAAAGUAUAAAGGAGAUAGAGAAAGCUUCUGACAUAGACAUCAGAAGACGGCAGAAAGAAUACCCCCCUGCUAGUUUUAGCUGGAUGUUAUAUAGUUACUAGCAGUCUGUUAAUGAAAGAAAGGAAUGUCUUAAAACUCAGAGAAUGGCACCAGGCCCCUCAUCCAUAAGAUGUAUCUUGGCACCAGAUGAGUCAUCCCGGGACAUAAAACGAUUGACUUGAAUCUUGUAGAAAGGCAGAUUACCAUACAAAUAGUUUCACUUACAUAGAUUAGAGAAACAAUGUCUGAGUAUAACAUACUGGUUUGUCAAGUAUGUUCAGACAUGUGGUAAUAUUUGAAUGUGUGGAAGAUGGCAAUUUUUUUUAUUGAUGUUAAACAGCUACCUGGUUUGAUGAACACAGAAACCUUGGAUUAAGAGGCCAUUCUUGCCUGGAUUACCUCAAGAAUGUGAUAUUCUUACACAAUACCUAAGUCACCCCAAGAGCAUAACAGCUUUGAUCUUAGUGAGCAUGGUCCAGAAAUGAUCCAGGAGUGUCAGGUACUUCAAUAAACCAUCAUGGGGAUGAACAGAGUUGACAGUGCAGAAAACUGCAUGUAACAGUCUACAUUUGGGUUCAUCCUUGGUGGAUGAUUGUGCAGAACCAACUGUGACAGCAACUUGGUAGCUCUGUCACUGUAACUGAGUGGUUUUGUUUUGCACUCUUGUUGCUGGUGUCAUAUGAAUUAAAUCUGAGAAAUUCUAGUGUCAAAUCUUUGGAAUAAAGUCAUCUAGUGUUACAUUAACUUAGAGAAAAUAUAUCUUCAACCUCCCUACUUUCCUCCUUUUCAGUCUCUCUCUCUGUUUCCCUCACUCUGAAUCUUUGACAUUCC
ensembl:lncRNA